AGACCACGGUGCCGCAUGGCACAGGGGUAAAAGAAUUUCGAUGUAAGAUGGACCCGCGUCUGAUUAGGCAGUUGGCGAGGUAACGGCUCACCAAACCGACGAUCAGUAGCCGACCUGAGAGGGUGAUCGGCCACAUUGGGACUGAGACACGGCCCAAACUCCUACGGGAGGCAGCAGUGGGGAAUAUUGCACAAUGGGGGAAACCCUGAUGCAGCGACGCCGCGUGAGUGAAGAAGUAUUUCGGUAUGUAAAGCUCUAUCAGCAGGGAAGACAAUGACGGUACCUGACUAAGAAGCUCCGGCUAAAUACGUGCCAGCAGCCGCGGUAAUACGUAUGGAGCAAGCGUUAUCCGGAUUUACUGGGUGUAAAGGGAGCGUAGGUGGUUUGGCAAGCCAGAAGUGAAAACCCGGGGCUCAACCCCGCGGAUUGCUUUUGGAACUGUUGGACUGGAGUGCAGGAGGGGUAAGCGGAAUUCCCAGUGUAGCGGUGAAAUGCGUAGAUAUUGGGAGGAACACCGGUGGCGAAGGCGGCUUACUGGACUGUAACUGACACUGAGGCUCGAAAGCGUGGGGAGCAAACA
rnacentral:rRNA from 1 species